ACUUGGAACCGGGAGAGGUAAGAGGUACUACAGGGGUAGGAGUGAAAGUCUUGUAAUCCCUGUGGGACCACCUGUGGCGAAGGCGUCUACCAGAACGGGUUCGACGGUGAGGGACGAAAGCUGGGGGCACGAACCGGAUUAGAUACCCGGGUAGUCCCAGCCGUAAACGAUGCUCGCUAGGUGUCAGGCAUGGCGCGACCGUGUCUGGUGCCGCAGGGAAGCCGUGAAGCGAGCCACCUGGGAAGUACGGCCGCAAGGCUGAAACUUAAAGGAAUUGGCGGGGGAGCACAACAACGGGUGGAGCCCUGCGGUUUAAUUGGACUCAACGCCGGACAACUCACCGGGGGCGACAGCAAUAUGUAGGCCAAGCUGAAGACUUUGCCUAGAAUCGCUGAGGAGUGGUGCAUGG
rnacentral:rRNA from 1 species